GGUGGAAUCCCGGGCAGAGGGGCCGGACAGGAGUUGCGGCUGCCGCCCCGGAGGUAGAUAUGCCCAAUGGUCUGUGAUGAGAUGUUAGAUGGGGUGGGAUCUGAGUUACUACAGAGAGUUCUUUUCUGGGUGCUGGCUGGUGAGUCUUGCCCACGUGCUCAGGGUUUAACUGAUCGCCGUAUUUGGGGUCGGGUAAGAAUUUUCCUCCAGGGAAGAUUGGUAGAGGCCCUGGAAGUUUUUUGCCUUCCUCUGCAGCAUGGGGCAUGGGUCACUUGCUGGAGGAUUCUCUGCACUUUGCGGUCUUUAAACCACGAUUUGAAGACUUCAAUAACUCAGACAUAGUUUAGGGGUUUGUUACAGGAAUGGGUGGGUGAGAUUCUGCGUUGUGCAGGAGGUCAGACUAGAUGAUCAUAAUGGUCCCUUCUGACCUUUAAAGUCUAUGAGUCUAUGAGAUAUGCUUCCGGAUUCUACAUUAUAGCAUUUCAGAAGACUUAAUUGUAAACUAGCCUAAUCAAAAAUAUCUUACAAAGAAAACCCAACCCCCCAGACCUCACAUCUCAACUAAUAUAGCCACCUCCUCUCUGGGCUUGACAAAUCCCCAACUUGCUCCCCUCCACCUUAAAUCUUUUUAAAAGUUGUGGCAAAAAUAAUCUCCCUGACUCAUUGUUUUGAUUACAUCACUCUCCUCUUUGUAUCUUUCCACUGACUCCUCUUUUCCCACUGUACCAAAAACAAACUACCUGUCCACCCCUUGUUUGGAGGCCUGCCACUGGGCAAUUGGAUUGCCUGCAGUUAUCAGGGUUGGCUGGUAGGUGACAGGGAGAGCCCCAUAAGAAGUGAUGCCAGGUGGAAAUGAGCCUCUUUCUGCUCCACCCUCCAUUCUGCUGCAAUUCCAACUCUUCAGAGAAGCAAUGAGUUGAGUGUCUACAUGAAAUAUUUUGUUUAAGUUAUAAGUUUAAUAAAGCUGUGGCUACUUGAUCAUGCCUGUCUCUAUCUUCACUGGCUCCCUGCAUAGCCCUUUCAGUGCUUACUUCCCAUACCAUCUCAUGCUAAUACGCAGUUAAUAAAAAUAUUUAAGGACUUUGUUAAACAAAAAUCAGAAAAUAAUAGCAGCAUGGAAUAAUUUCAUUAACUUCUGGAUGUGGGUUUUAGCAUAAAUGAGAGUGCAUAUUUUGUUUGAACUAUACAGUAUAAUUUUUAUGUGUGCAUCUACAAAUAUUUUUAUUGUGUAAAAAGUAAAGUUAUGUACGAAAGAUCAUGUAUUUAAAAAAACCCACAGAACUGAGCAGAAUGUUCAUACUUGGGGAAAAAAAUCUAUUUGGUAAAAUUCUUCCCUGGUGUAACUCAUUAAAGUCAAGUCAAUUAAGUUAUUACACCAGAGAUUAAACUGAUCCAUUGCCCUAUAAACUGUGUAAAAAAACACUUGUACUGAAUAUUUAUGUUUCUUUAAGAAUCAGCUCUGUGUUUGUCUUAAAAUGAAAACUAGUAUCCAGCAGAUAUUGCUAUUUUAUUUAGUUAUAUUAUAAUGUAAAGUAAAAUCCUGCCUCCUUAAAGGCAACCUUAAUGUAUGUGGUCUCCGUGCUAAACAAGUAAGUUCUAUUUUUCAUUAAAGAGCAAUAUGGGGAAACUUGUAUCAUGCUACAAACAAUGAUACUUAAAAUGCAACCUAAGAGCUAAAUAUGAGAUCAUAGCAUCACAAAAUGCAAAUCACACCUAUCUCCUCCAUAACCUCAGGAUGAAGAUAAAGCUGAUCAGCUGCAUGGUUUUAUCACUGAUUAAUUCAAACAGCAAGCAAUUUCUGUUCAUCCAUCAAUGAAGUACAAACAAAUAUAAUGGUUGUACAGAGUUGUUUCUAAUAUAAAAAAGUGUAAGUGAAUUUAUGCAAAUUAGACGUGAAUUUGUUUCAUGUUAACCAGGUUUCCAGUGCAGUUUCCUCAGUGCUGCAAAGCUGAGACACCGCUAUUUAUGGAUAAAGUGGAAAGAUGGUCAUCUGUGCAUAGGAAACAUGGGAAGAGUGAGGCAAAGGAGAGAGAUUACUAAAGAUGUAAAAUGUGUUCUUUUUAAAUAUUGUCCUUACUGCACCAGAAACUUGUCCUCAAAAAAGCAUUAAAAGUGCCAAUUAUGGCUGACUGCC